AGAGCGAGGGCCGCUCCUCGACCCGUGCGCAAGGCGGGUUUUGGGGUGGUGGGGGCCGGCCCGUGUUGCCUUCCCCCCGCGCCUCGUCUCUCUCCUUCCUCCUCCUCCUUCCUCCUCCACGCCGCGGUUUCCCCUUCCCCUCUUCUCUUCUCUUCUUUCGACUACCUGGUUGAUCCUGCCAGUAGCAUAUGCUUGUCUCAAAGAUUAAGCCAUGCAUGUCUAAGUACACACGGCCGGUACAGUGAAACUGCGAAUGGCUCAUUAAAUCAGUUAUGGUUCCUUUGGUCGCUCGCUCCCUCCUACUUGGAUAACCUCGGGCCGAUCGCACGCCCCCCGUGGCGGCGAUACUCCCGACCCGGGGAGGUAGUGACGAAAAAUAACAAUACAGGACUCUUUCGAGGCCCU
rnacentral:lncRNA from 1 species